UUGAAGCGUAUGGACUCCCUGGCGUAUUAGGUCAUGUUCUUUACUAUAAGUCAGACCCACAUACCCCUACCAUAACUCCUAGUGGCUGUAGGACCUUUGAUGAUGUCACAGUCAUGUGAUCAGUUACAUGGGAGGGAUGUAAAUGUUAGUGGCUGUAGGACCUUUGAUGAUGUCACAGUCAUGUGAUCAGUUACAUGGGAGGGAUGUAAAUGUUAGUGGCUGUAGGACCUUUGAUGAUGUCACAGUCAUGUGAUCAGUUACAUCCCACCCGACCCUUACAGGACUGUACCUUACAUGUGUAUUCAGACAACGAGAGAAAACAGGAUUUGCACAUAGGACUGUAUGGUUGCUUAGGUACAAGACUCUCUUCAUUUGAAAGACAAUGGUCCUUUCCAUCCAUGACCCAGCAAGAAUGGAGAAGGACAGAGACCACAUGGCUGCAAGGAUAUUAGACCUCACCCUGGAGAUCAUCUCCUUGAUAACUGGAGAGGAUUACACAGUAGUGAAGAAGUCGUCUGGUGAGUGUGUGACACCCCGUGUGUCAGGAGGA